UCUCUCUCUCUCUCUUUCUCUCUCUCUAUUUCUUUGUUUCUUAAUUCUUCUCUCCCUCUCUUUCUCACUCACUCACACACUUUCUCUCUCCACCCUAUGCCUUGUAGCUUCAUAGUUUACACACAUCAGCGACUGCUGCUCAUCAUCAUCUUUAUAUGCACGUUCCUCGCCCCUCUAUUUUCCGGCGAACAUACAGCCAAAAGAGAAGACAAAUUUGCAUGAACUCUUGGAUAUUCCCAACGCCAAAAAAGGAGAUAGAAAGAUACUACAAGAAAAGAGAGCCUUUUUAGAGGAUCCAGCAACACUCAUCGUCCAUCUAAUCCACCCCGUCAACUGCAGUGGAAAAGUUGGAAGAAAGAAAACGAAAAAUAAUACUAAAAAGGUUUGACUGAAGAAAUCGAGGCCACGCACGUCUAGUACUAGUACUACUCGCCUAUAUCAUCUUUUUCUGUUCAUUAUUUUAACUCCCAAGACAAAAAGAAUAAGAAUAAGAGCUGGCAACAAUAUAAUUUGUAUGAAAUUCAAGCGAGUUCUGCUCCCCAAAACCUUUCCAUCGAAAGUAACGAAGUAAAGGUCUUCUUCGCGAGAUCCAAUCCCACUAACCUACAGGUAAAAUCAGGCAGCCUUCCUUGCUUGUUCCCUUCCUUUCCUGCUCUCCUCCUCAAAGCCCUACAAGCUACCUACACUUAAAAGUCUCUCUUUCUUCCUCCAUACCGCAUAACCCUCAGAAGCGGAUUCCCUUGCGGCCGUACCAGUGAAAGUUUGAGAGGAGAGAGACAUCUCUGAGAUUAUUGCCAAGAAAAAAAAAUUCCAUAAAUAGGUGAAGGUCUGGCUUCCCCUUCAGAGUUUAGUUAGAUCUCUUAAAAGCCAACCAUCAUAAGCUAGAGUGGAAGAUUUGCUUUCAAUUCCUUAGAAACCCAAUUCAGAGAAGGGAUCGGAAGACUGAAUCAGUAAUUAACGAGCAGAUACUGCAAGG